rnacentral:lncRNA from 1 species
AGGACUCCGGUUCUCUCGAGAGGAGCACAGAAGAAGCCGAGCGUGGAGGAGCCGUCCACCCGGCGGGGCCUGCCCUGUGCUGCCGGCACGGGUGGGAGCUGGGUGUGCGCGGUAGGGUGGCCGCUCGGUCGCGCCGGCACCUGCCUGCUUGAGGUGACGCUGAAUCCCUUCAGCCAAGAGCUCCAGACGCCUCCUCGGCCCGAUGCCCACGGUCACCUCAGUUGGACGUCGUCUUGCCUCCCUGCCUGUCCUGUGUCCCACACGCAUCCAGUAACAUGACUGGGUCCCUGGACUCCGGAGAGUGCCCCUCUGCAGCGCUCACUACCUUCGGUGCGGACCCCGCUGGCCCUCGAGCAGGGCUGUCGGAAGCGGGCCUCCGGCGCUGGCCCAGGCGGAGUGGAUGGUGCCUUUUGCAGGGCGAGCCGUCAGCCGACCCCCGUGGCAUCCGCGUCCCCGUGUCAGAACCGCUGGAGCCCGGGUCUC